rnacentral:rRNA from 1 species
UACGGAGGGGGUUAGCGUUGUUCGGAAUUACUGGGCGUAAAGCGUACGUAGGCGGAUUAAUAAGUUAGAGGUGAAAUCCCAGGGCUCAACCUGGAACUGCCUUUAAAACUGUUAGUCUUGAGAUCGAGAGAGGUGAGUGGAAUUCCAAGUGUAGAGGUGAAAUUCGUAGAUAUUUGGAGGAACACCAGUGGCGAAGGCGACUCCCUGGCCAAAGACUGACGCUCAUGUGCGAAAGUGUGGG